rnacentral:rRNA from 1 species
GCACAAGCGGUGGAUCAUGUUGUUUAACUCGAUGAUACGCGAAGAACCUUACCAGGUCUUGACAUCCCCCGCGAUGCUUUAGAGAUAAAGCGGAGGUAUUCGGGGAGACAGGUGGUGCAUGGUUGUCGUCAGCUCGUGUCGUGAGAUGUUGGGUUAAGUCCCGUAACGAGCGCAACCCUUGUCCUUAGUUACCAGCACGUUAUGGUGGGCACUCUAAGGAGACUGCCGGUGACAAACCGGAGGAAGGUGGGGAUGACGUCAAGUCAUCAUGGCCCUUACGGCCUGGGCUACACACGUGCUACAAUGGUCGGUACAAAGGGUUGCCAAGCCGCGAGGUGGAGCUAAUCCCAUAAAACCGAUCGUAGUCCGGAUCGCAGUCUGCAACUCGACUGCGUGAAGUCGGAAUCGCUAGUAAUCGUGAAUCAGAAUGUCACGGUGAAUACGUUCCCGGGCCUU